UCCGGUUUGUCACCGGCAGUCUCCCAUGAGUCCCCGGCAUUACCCGCUGGCAACAUGGAACAGGGGUUGCGCUCGUUGCGCCACUUAAGGCAACACCUCACGGCACGAGCUGACGACAGCCGUGCAGCACCUGUGCAGGCUCCCGAAGGAGCCCCGUGUUUCCACGGGUUUACCCUGCAUGUCAAGCCCUGGUAAGGUUCUUCGCGUUGCGUCGAAUUAAGCCACAUGCUCCGCCGCUUGUGCGGGUCCCCGUCAAUUCCUUUGAGUUUUACCGUUGCCGGCGUACUCCCCAGGCGGAGAACCUUACCUGGGUUUGAC
rnacentral:misc_RNA from 1 species